rnacentral:rRNA from 1 species
ACGGGAGGCAGCAGUGGGGAAUAUUGCACAAUGGGGGAAACCCUGAUGCAGCGACGCCGCGUGAGUGAAGAAGUAUUUCGGUAUGUAAAGCUCUAUCAGCAGGAAAGAAAAUGACGGUACCUGACUAAGAAGCCACGGCUAACUACGUGCCAGCAGCCGCGGUAAUACGUAGGUGGCAAGCGUUAUCCGGAUUUACUGGGUGUAAAGGGCGCGUAGGCGGGAAUGCAAGUCAGAUGUGAAAUCUCUGGGCUCAACCCAGAAACUGCAUUUGAAACUGUAUUUCUUGAGUGCUGGAGAGGUAGAUGGAAUUCCUAGUGUAGCGGUGAAAUGCGUAGAUAUUAGGAAGAACACCAGUGGCGAAGGCGAUCUACUGGACAGUAACUGACGCUGAGGCGCGAAAGCGUGGGGAGCAAACAGGAUUAGAUACCCUGGUA